AAAGCUGACCUGCCACUGCCAUGCUAAAAAAGGAGAGUAUAAAGCCGUUAUAAGGAGAUGGUUUUUUUCUUUUGACAGUGUACGAUGAUGAUUGCUUCUCCUCCUUCUACACCUCUUCUACUAUGCUCUGUUUUUCUCUCUCUCCAUCAUUUCUCACCAAUUCCAAUUCCAAUUCUUCAAAAUCCUUUCUUUUUUUACUCUUAGGAUCCACCAUGAAUGCUUAUUACCCUCUGUUUUUAUCAUAACCUUUUCUCUCUCUCUCUUCUUGUAUCAUCAUGACCCAGUUUCUUCACCUUUUUACCCCACCCACCCCUUCUUCUGCUUCUUCUUACUCUGCUCUCUUGUACAGCUGAUCCACUCACCCCCUCCUCUCCAAAACCCCACCUUGACCCCCUUCUGCCUUUUGACCUACUCUCUCUUUUUUUCCACCCACAGUUCUAGGGUUUCCUAUUAUUAUUUUUUUCUCUCUUCAUCCUUUGUGUUCCGCUCUUCCUCUUCAUCUUCCUGCUGCUGCUCCUAUAGCUCUCUCCUUAAACAUCCUUUUCUUUUUUUGUGAAUACAUGUACCAUCUUUUCUGCCAUUUUAGGGGGGUUUUCUGUGUAUAAGAGGUCGGGUUUUCACUGGAUCAACUUUAGUAUAACGUGAAUAGUUUCUGUUUUCUGGUCUACUUACUUCUCCUGUAUCUACUUAAAUCAAAUUGGAUAGUGGAUUAUGGCGUAUCAACAGCAGCCACCAGCUCAAGGUUCAGGUUCCUCUGCUGCUGGCAGUGGGGUUCCAUUCUUUAAUUCUCCUUUUGGGGACACCACCUUCACUAAGGUCUUUGUUGGAGGUCUUGCUUGGGAAACUCAGAGUGACACCCUCAGACGAUUCUUUGAGCAGUUUGGUGAAAUCCUCGAGGCUGUUGUCAUCACUGAUAAAAAUACUGGCCGAUCCAAAGGCUAUGGCUUUGUGACUUUCCGGGACCCUGAGUCUACAAGGAGGGCAUGUGCUGAUCCUGCUCCAAUUAUCGAUGGAAGACGAGCAAAUUGUAAUUUGGCUUCGUUAGGGCGACCUCGUCCUUCUGUGCAAUUUGGACGUCUGAGGUCACCGACUCCAUUUCCAGCAGGGCUACCAGCUGCUCGGGGUGCUUAUGCUGGAAGUUUUGGCUACCAGCAACCGGUUUCUUAUGGCUACCAGCAAGGCUUGAUGUAUUCUCCUUAUGGGUAUGCGACAUAUGGUACGGAUUACGUUUACCCUCAGGGUGUUUACAAUCCUUAUGGAGGUCAACAGUACCUUCCUAUAUAUGGUGUACCUGGAACUGUUAAUGCAACAAUGUAUCCUUACGGCCAGCUAAGUCAGGCUGUUCCUGGAAGUCACAGUUAUACGACAUUGCAGGGUUAUGCAGUGCCAGGACAUCAGAUUCUUCAGUUUGGUGGGCCCGGUGUCAAUGCAAUGACAGCUUCAUCCAUUCCAACUAUUCAAGCACCAUAUCAAACAGGUGUCGGAGCGCCUGUUACACCACAGCCACAGUUUAUACUACCUACUCAUUCUCCUCAAUUUAUGCAAGGUAGCGGUUCUGACCAAAAUGCAGGGUGAGAUUUUAUCAAGGUACUAGAUUGCAGCAGGACUAACAGCAGCAGUAUUGCUACUUGAGAGGCAGGCUUUUAAUCUAGCCUUGCAAAUUAUUCACUUUGCAUUCUAGAGGUUAUAAAAAGUCAUACCCACCAUGAGAGCUCAAUGUCUGAGUCGCUCCUGAUGAUUGAGUGAGGAAACAUGGAAGUUGCGGAUUGCACUUCCUUCAACAUCAUGUAUCUAGGCCCUUGCAUUCUGCUGGUUUCAGGAUCACUGGCAGAGAGUCAUGCAUUUGAGGGAUACUGGAAUAGGUUUCUGGCUCCCUCCUUGUAGCAAUAAACUUUGUAAAAAAUUCACAUCAGAAUCAACCUGUGAUUCAGUUAUAGUCAAAAACUCCCAGAAUAUGCUUUUGGGUGUGUAGAUAGUCAUUGUCUUGCGUGCUGGUGCACCAUGCACCGUGUUUAAAAGUCUUGUGCAUAAAAAACAAACAAGCUUUAGUCUUAAACUUGAGAUUCAUUCUGUAAUUUGGAUGUUUUAUUGAUGAUUCUUGAAGCAAGAAGCUUCAGUUAUUAUCACCAAGGUUGGUGUGACAUGACCAUAAUUUGGGUGCAAAAGCAGUGUUGCAUCAUUUAUUUGUGUUUGGUACUCAGAGCAGACUUUGCCAAUGAAGUUUAUAUUAUUCAUUCCCCUUUAA